rnacentral:rRNA from 1 species
UUGGACCUGAUAUCAGCAAGAUACCGCUGACU